GUGACCUAACUAAGCAAAUUUUUCUCAACAGGUCAGUCCCUGCACUGGCUUGAUGGCUCAUCAGUUAAUUACGCCAACUGGGAUAACAGAACCGCAGAACUCAGUGAAAAAUGCAGUGUUAUCGUGUCCACAACUGGCAAGUGGUCCAAAGUUGACUGCACUCGUAGUCAAAGCAGAGUGGUUUGCAAAGCUCCUUUAGGUUCUAAUCACACUGGGGUGGCUGUAGCUUUUGCCCUGCUAAUUAUCUUAGUCCUUGUUGUUGGAUUAGUGUGGUUUAUCUGUAAAAAGAAGCGUCUUCACUGGAGUGCCUUCUCUUCAGUACGUUAUCAAAGAGGGAUAAAUGAUGAUGAAGCUGAUGAUGUGUUCACAAAAGAUGGCUAUUGAAAAGAACUGUUCCUUCUAGGCAAUUUAGCAUGAACUUCACUGUGUGAAGCCGUAAGGACUGAAUUACUUGAUGUUUUGUUACUUCUUUUUGAAAAAGUAAUAAGGUUAUUAAUAGGGGCUGAGUUUUGUUCCUUUUUACAAGUGUGCAAUUUUUAUUCGAGCCCACGGUAAUUAUUUACAUUUGGCCUCAGUUGUUUAAGGUACAAGAUUUUUGGAGUUGUGUAAUGUAUUUUAGAGUAUUAUUUUCCAUCUAUUUACUGGAAAAUGUUUUUAAUUAAAUAAUUAAUGACAACUUACUUCACGCAAUGUCACCUUAUUGAAUGCAUGUAAAGUAGCCUCAUGAAUUCUCUAACUUUGUACAAUUUUCACUCAGUAACUUCAGGCCAAUUAUGUGCCAUUUUGAUGUGUUAAGGAUUCUGCUGCUAGCGUUGGAUUAUCUAGCUAGAACAGAGAGGAUAAAUGCUUGGUGUAGCAACUUUUGUGGCAAGCUGUUAUAAAUUUUUAUAUAGUAGGAGAAAAAGGAGUUAUCAGACAGCAAAUUUAAAUUUCUAGAAGGAAGAUAAUGUUGUUACUUUCUCUCCCAAAUUAAUAAUAAUAAUUAAAAAGCUAUACUGGUGAGAUAAGAAUGUUGGAAUGCAGAGAAUUACGGAAAAUAUCCUGCACUAAAGCUGUGCCACUUAUGAGUAAGUUUAUUAAUAAACGUAAAAUAUUUUAUAUUUGAGACUGUGACAAGCUGGCAGAUCGCUAAUCAUGGCACAGCUAUCAGAACUACCCAGUAAGGGCUGACUAUAAGUACAAGUAAAACUCAAGACAGUAAGAGCCUCAGCCUUGUGAAAGCAGAAGCAUGAAUGUUGUGUUUUAUCCUGUGAUAUAAUUGUUAAAUAAAUCAUUCAGUUUCUUUUCACAGCACCACAGCACCUUCAACAAAGGUUUAGAAGCACAAAUAGCAGAAAUGUUUACAGGGAAAAUCAUUAUCUAGGCAUAAGCAUAAAAAAUUAAAACAUUUUUAAAAUGCACUUAGAGUAGCAUUUAGAGGAAGAAUUAUUCCAGUCUAUCCCAUGGCUUCACACUCCUCUGAAAUUAGACCUGUGUGACUUUCUUCUGGAUAAAACAGAAAAGACCUCCAUUUUAUAAUAUGUUGCAGCGUGACAUCUGAGGACAGGAGUGUUACAGUGCUUUACGUUCUUUAAUGAGAUCCUUCUGACAUUUUACCUCCAGUAAUACUGUUGGUUUUUAUUAUGGGUAAAUGCUUAACUAUAUGAAGCGGAAUAUCUGUUAUCUGUUCAAGAAAUAACAAAGAUAUAUCUAAGAAAGGAAUGAGGAAGAAUAUAUGGUAAAUUAAGUUGUGUAUGUAAAUGCUAAAAAUACUUGAGUAUUUUACAUAAAACUUAAACUUGAUUUUUGUAUGAUGUGAUCUAUGCACUCCAAAGAAAGUUAUAAAGGGAAAAAGGGAAGACAGCUUUGUACAUAUUCUAAUGAUUUGAUCAGUGUUUUGAAGAAGUUGUUAGAUUUCUUCAGAGCACAAUACGAAGAACAGAUGUUUACUUUUAUGAAGGUAUAUAUGCAAAAGAUGAAAUCCAUUCCUUGUGUAGUAAUAAUGGUGUGAUAUGAUAAAUAGGUCUAACAUGCUGAAAAGUGUACUACUGAUUUCUCUGGAGCAACAUUGUGAGGUUAUAAUGUUCAACUGCCUUAUUUCCCUGCAGUUUACUGAAAUUGACAGCACUUUCCUUUGUACCUAUUUGCACUAUUUUGAUAAGCAGGUGUUUAUCAUCUGUAUUGAUAAUAGAGAAUCUCUUGUAGAUAUCACUUCAGUACCUGUUGAACUAGCAGAGUGAAGGAGCAUAGCCAAAGAAACGUCCUGUUAGUUUGCUGAUAAAGAAGCAAGCACUUUUGUUGUUUAUUUGGUACUUGAGCACAAUUGUGAAAGAAAGUCUUCUUUCUUGAUGGUAGUUGCUUUGCUGAAUGACUUCUAAAUUAAUGGAAAAAAAAAAAAAGUGUUGUUCAUUGUCCUUUUCUCACAACAAUAAGUGGGAAAAUAUUUCGAAAUUUCUGUUUUGAGAUUUACUAGUUUUACAGGUGUUUAUAUACUUUGAACGUUUUCAGUUGUGAAGCUGAAGUUGAAAGCGAAAAUUAGUGAAAAAAUCCUAGCUAUCCAAAAUAUAAAUAUAUACUUUUUAUAAUUGACAUAAGUGUAUAUUUUAUUCUUAUGAAUGAUGUAAAUAAUUUUGUAAGGCCCCUUUUCUAUGUUUGUUUCAUCAUACCAAGUUGUCUCAUCACUGGCAAUUCUCAUUUGAACAAGCGCAGCUGCCUUAGUGCAGGUGAAUAACCCACCUCACUUGACAUACGCAGCAAGAUUAUUACUGAAAGAAUAAAACUAAUAAAACACUAAA